rnacentral:rRNA from 1 species
UUUGGAAUUUUGGACAAUGGGCGAAAGCCUGAUCCAGCGACGCCGCGUGGACGAUGAAGGCCUUCGGGUUGUAAAGUCCUUUUGCUCGGGAACAAUUUUUGAGCGUACCGAGAGAAUAAGAGGUUGCUAACUCUGUGCCAGCAGCAGCGGUAAUACAGAGACCUCAAGCGUUAUCCGGAAUCAUUGGGCGUAAAGCGUACCGAUAGGUGGUUUAGUGUGUCAGAAGUGAAAUCUUCAGGCUUAACCUGGAGAAUGUCUUUUGAAACUACUAAACUAGAGGGGCAAAGAGGAAGCUGGAACGAACGGUGUAGUAGUGAAAUGCGUUGAUAUCGUUCGGAACACCAAUUAGCGUAGGCAGGCUUCUGGGUGCCACCUGACACUGCUAGGACGAAAGCGUGGGGAGCGAUAAGG